GGAAUUUUGUUCUUUUCGGGGAUAGUUACAAUUUAGCUAUAUUCACCCCCCUCUAUAGCCAAAUCCGAUCUCACACAUUAAGAGAGAUGUUUUUGCUAGCAUUGAAGAUUGCAAGAUUAUAGAACGUUACCAUGCUAUGAGGACACGGAAGCAUUAGCUACGUACAUCUAGAGGUUCGGGUUCAAGUUCUCUCCCUACUGUUAACGAAGAGUGAAAAUCACGAAGACUUGGUGCUACAUCUCACUAGGUCACCCUGGCAACAAUCCAAAACCAAACAUGUGAGACAACCGUAGCAUGAGAUUGAUAUCUCCAUUGAGUAAAAUCAAGAGCAUAUUUUUCAGAACAUAAACCGUACCACAUAGUAGGUAUGUUCUCCUUCAGUGGCAUCACCAUCACUCUCAGAGGCCAUUUCACUUUCACUGCUCU